CAGCGCCAACGUAAUCAAUCAGUGCUAAGAGUAAACUGCUAUAGUGUAGACGAGUUGUGAAAUAAAGAGUUGUUGAAUUUAAUUAAACAGUUUUGGUUUUAUUUGUCAAUCCAGAGAUACGAACCUAACAAAGUGAACUAGCAAGAGUAAAUUCGUAACAAUAUUAAUUAAUCUUAAUAUAAAAUUGAGUUAAUUUUACUGUUUUGAAUCUACAUAAAAAUAUUAGCAGGCUUUUUGUAUUAAACUUCUCAAAAGAGUUAGAAAUUACCGUCAUAAACUUGACCUUGAAUAUAUUAAUAGCUGUAAUACUGCAGCUGGUCCUGAGUUGUUCUUUCACAUUUGAAAUCCUAAAAAUAAAUAAAAUUAUUAUAUAUGCUCUAAAUUUAAUAGUCAUGUGGUGAGGUUUUUGUGCUUUUUUCUUGUGAGGUUUGAACAAGAAUAACCUUAAGAAAUAAAUCUUCCAACAAACCUCACAAGUCAGACCGCAGACCAACCGCAAAAACAUUUGGGAAAAUUUUGUGAAAAGGAAGACAGAAAAGUGUUACGCGCGUUCUUCUUCUUCUUUACUGAUUUCUGGAUUUGCUUUUGCAAUUUAACCCGUGUUUUUUUAAGCACUUCUUUGGAGUGAGAAAGGAUAUCUGCCGUAAUAAAGCAUUGUAUGGUGUCUUUUAUGACAAUAUAAGUAUUUAAAUUUGCUUUUGCAAUUUGAAUAUGUAUGUGCAUGUGACAUACAAUUUGUGCAAAGUCUUUUUGUCCUGACAAAAUAUUUCAUUCGUUAACUCUUAAGUUUUUAAACUUCUCGCAAGAUGUAAGCUUAUGCCCUCUUUUACUUAGUUCGCAUGACGUUUACUUCUUCUGUUCGGAAGUGAACGAUUGUGUUUUGUGAACGUUUUUUUAUUUAUUUGUUUUUGCUUCUAGCUUGGAGUCUAUGGAAGCUUCGAAUUUGAACGUGUUUAAUGUUUUUAGUUUUGACUAUUCAUUUCUCAACCCUUUCGGCUGUUUCAAAUUGGAUGCAUUGCCAGAACCAGAAUUGGGUCCCAGCUGUCUGUGGGAAUAUUUUGUGUUUCUUUCUUAAUUUUUGUUAAGUUCUUUAGAGCUUUCCAAGCUUAAUUGAAACUAUCGUCAUUAAGAGCGAACUGUUUUACUAUUAUGCCUUCUUGACCUUUAGUUUUGUAUCGGAGGUGAUACAAUUUUUGUGCUUUUGAUAAUUGUGGAUGGUUGAUGUAAACGGCUGUAACCAUGUCCCGGAAGGAUAGCCAUUCUUUUUAACAUCUAUAAAAUGUUUCUGUGUCACCAAGAAUGAUAGAAACAAGAUUGCGCAAUGACGAGUUCAAAUUUUGUUCGUUCUGCGCAUUUACGUCACGGUUGACCAACUUACAAUCAGCUGAUUUUCAGUUGUUUGUUUUGCAAUAAGAAGCAAUUUUGUAUUGCAGGCAUAAAAAAUCAUGAAUAUCAUCAAAAUUUAACAUCAACAUAAAAUUUUGGCACUUACCUGGCCGUUGGUGAAAAUGCAGCUAAGUUUUUGCUCCAAAUUAUUUCUAUGGAAUUCCACAGUUUUAGUGAAAAUCUUGAGGCGUUUAAUUUCUGCUAACUGCUCGUUUUUGCACUUAUUCAAAGUGCUAGCAACACUAUUCAGCCUUUGUCUAAAAAGAAUAGGAAAUACACAUACUUAUUAUUUUCUCGUCUUUCUCAUCGAUGACCUCUUCUUCUGCAGUUUGAGGUGCCUCUCCAACCUCGUUUUCUUGAAUAACUUCAACAGGGUCGGCAUUCUUCAAAAUUGUUGUCAACAUCUCUUUUUUGGAACGAGACUCC